GGGUGAUAAAGAAGUGUUUCCAUGGCAACUUUCCAGCAUUAUUGAUGUGUCCAACAAUUGAUAUAGAGCCCCUCCAAUGCGAUUCAAUGUUUCUAUGGUAACUGCUAUGCAGAAUCUGUUCAAGUUUUGAGGGAAUCAGGAAAAGUAACAGGUCUUCUGUUUAAACUUGUGGGAGAAGGAAACAGCUUCGGUACAUUACCAGACCUGAAUAAAAAAGUUGUUGAAAGAAC